rnacentral:rRNA from 1 species
AUUGAACGCUGGCGGAAUGCUUUACACACGCAAGUCGAACGGCAGCACGGACUUCGGUCUGGUGGCGAGUGGCGAACGGGUGAGUAAUGUAUCGGAACGUGCCCAGUCGUGGGGGAUAACGUAGUGAAAAUUACGCUAAUACCGCAUACGAUCUAUGGAUGAAAGCGGGGGAUCGCAAGACCUCGCGCGAUUGGAGCGGCCGAUAUCAGAUUAGGUAGUUGGUGGGGUAAAGGCCCACCAAGCCAACGAUCUGUAGCUGGUCUGAGAGGACGACCAGCCACACUGGAACUGAGACACGGUCCAGACUCCUACGGGAGGCAGCAGUGGGGAAUUUUGGACAAUGGGCGCAAGCCUGAUCCAGCCAUUCCGCGUGCAGGAUGAAGGCCCUCGGGUUGUAAACUGCUUUUGUACAGAACGAAAAGGUUUCUACUAAUACUGGGAGCUCAUGACGGUACUGUAAGAAUAAGCACCGGCUAACUACGCGCCAGCAGCCGCGGUAA